AAUGAACGCUGGCGGCGUGCCUAACACAUGCAAGUCGUGCGCGAACGGGACUUCGGUCCCUAGUAGAGCGGCGAACGGGUGAGUAACACGUGGGUAACCUGCCUGGGAGUGGGGGAUAACCUGGGGAAACUCGGGCUAAUACCGCAUACGUUCCCGGAGCUACGGCUCCGGGAGGAAAGAUGGCCUCUGCUUGCAAGCUAUCUCUCCCAGAGGGGCCCGCGGCUGAUUAGCUAGUUGGUGAGGUAACGGCUCACCAAGGCGACGAUCAGUAGCCGGCCUGAGAGGGUGAUCGGCCACACUGGAACUGAGACACGGUCCAGACUCCUACGGGAGGCAGCAGUGGGGAAUAUUGGACAAUGGGGGAAACCCUGAUCCAGCAACGCCGCGUGGGGGAUGAAGGUCUUCGGAUUGUAAACCCCUGUUGGGAGGGGCGAAGGUUUGAGGGCAAACAGCCUUCAAACUUGACGGUACCUCGAGAGGAAGCCCCGGCUAACUCUGUGCCAGCAGCCGCGGUAAGAC
rnacentral:rRNA from 1 species